GUCCCGGUGGUCCAAAGGAUAGGAUGUAAGCCUCCGGAGCUUAAGGUAGGGGUUCAAUUCCCUUCCGGGACGCCA
rnacentral:tRNA from 2 species